rnacentral:rRNA from 1 species
GACGAACGCUGGCGGCGUGCUUAACACAUGCAAGUCGAACGGAAAGGCCUGCUUUCCCUUGUGGAUUGCGGGUACUCGAGUGGCGAACGGGUGAGUAACACGUGAGUGAUCUGCCCCCAACUUGGUUAUAAGCCUGGGAAACUGGGUCUAAUUCCCGAUAGGACUGCAGGGUGGUGCCUUUGGUGGAAAACUAUUUUCUAGUGGUUGGGAUGAGCUCGCGGCCUAUCAGCUUGUUGGUGGGGUAAUGGCCUACCAAGGCGGCGACGGGUAGCCGGCCUGAGAGGGGGGACGGCGGAACUGGGACUGGGAUCAGGCCCCGACGGCUAGGGGAGGCAGCAGAGGGGAAUAAAGGACCGGGGGCGGAGCGCUGCUGCAGCGAGGCAGCGGGGGGGAUGACGGGAUUGGGGUGGUAAGCUCCUUGGGAAGGCGAGGAAGCCACCUGGCUGGAAGGGUGGUGACGGUAGUGGUAGAAGAAGCACCGGCUAACUACGUG